rnacentral:rRNA from 1 species
CCUACGGGUGGCAGCAGUUAGGAAUAUUCGUCAAUGGGCGAAACCCUGAACGAGCCAUGCCGCGUGAACGAUGAAGGCCCUCCGGGUUGUAAAGUUCUGUUGUUUGGAAAGAAUCUCUCGUGUAGGAAAUGACACGCGUCUGACGGUAGCAUUCAAGAAAGCCAAGGCUAAGUACGUACCAGCAGCCGCGGUAAUAAUUAGGUGGCGAGCGUUAUCCGGAUUUAUUGGGCGUAAAGCGUCCGGAGCCGGAUUAUUAAGUCUAAGAUAAAAGCCCGAAGCUUAACUUCGGUUCGUUUUAGAAACUGGUAGACUCGAGGGGGGUAGAGGCAAGUGGAACUUGUAGUGUAGCGGUAAAAUGCGUAGAUAUUAGAAAGAACACCAGUGGCGCAGGCGACUUGCUGGGCCAUCACUGACGGUCAGGGACGAAAGCGUGGGGAGCAAAUAGGAUUAGAUACCCGGGUAGUC